rnacentral:rRNA from 1 species
AUUGAACGCUGGCGGCAGGCCUAACACAUGCAAGUCGAGCGGAUGAAGGGAGCUUGCUCCUGGAUUCAGCGGCGGACGGGUGAGUAAUGCCUAGGAAUCUGCCUGGUAGUGGGGGAUAACGUCCGGAAACGGGCGCUAAUACCGCAUACGUCCUGAGGGAGAAAGUGGGGGAUCUUCGGACCUCACGCUAUCAGAUGAGCCUAGGUCGGAUUAGCUAGUUGGUGGGGUAAAGGCCUACCAAGGCGACGAUCCGUAACUGGUCUGAGAGGAUGAUCAGUCACACUGGAACUGAGACACGGUCCAGACUCCUACGGGAGGCAGCAGUGGGGAAUAUUGGACAAGGGGCGAAAGCCUGAUCCAGCCAUGCCGCGUGUGUGAAGAAGGUCUUCGGAUUGUAAAGCACUUUAAGUUGGGAGGAAGGGCAGUAAGUUAAUACCUUGCUGUUUGGACGUGACCAACAGAAUAAGCACCGGCGAACUUCGU